CAGUUAACACAGCAGGCCAGACUGUGCAGCAGGUAGUGGACCAGGCCAAGGAUGCAGGCCAGAAAGCUCUUGAUGAAGUCUGCAAAGUGGCUGAAAGUGGUGAGAAAGCCGUAAAAAAUGUGGCAAAUCAAGCCACUGCCUGGCGAAAAAGCUUUGGACAGUGAAGAUAAGAUAAUGUAACACUACUGAAAUGUUUGU